rnacentral:rRNA from 1 species
GACGAACGCUGGCGGCGUGCUUAACACAUGCAAGUCGAGCGGUAAGGCCCUUUCGGGGGUACACGAGCGGCGAACGGGUGAGUAACACGUGGGUGACCUGCCCUCAGCUCUGGGAUAAGCCUGGGAAACCGGGUCUAAUACUGGAUAUGACUCCAUGACGCAUGUUGUGGGGUGGAAAGCCUUGUGCGGCUGAGGAUGGGCCCGCGGCCUAUCAGCUUGUUGGUGGGGUGANGGCCUACCAAGGCGACGACGGGUAGCCGGCCUGAGAGGGCGACCGGCCACACUGGGACUGAGACACGGCCCAGACUCCUACGGGAGGCAGCAGUGGGGAAUCUUGCGCAAUGGGCGAAAGCCUGACGCAGCGACGCCGCGUGAGGGAUGACGGCCUCG